GACGAACGCUGGCGGCGUGCUUAACACAUGCAAGUCGAACGGAAAGGCCCUGCUUGCAGGGUACUCGAGUGGCGAACGGGUGAGUAACACGUGGGUGAUCUGCCCUGCACUUCGGGAUAAGCCUGGGAAACUGGGUCUAAUACCGGAUAGGAGCCAUUUUUAGUGUGAUGGUUGGAAAGUUUUUUCGGUGUAGGAUGAGCUCGCGGCCUAUCAGCUUGUUGGUGGGGUAAUGGCCUACCAAGGCGGCGACGGGUAGCCGGCCUGAGAGGGUGGACGGCCACAUUGGGACUGAGAUGCGGCCCAGACUCCGACGGGAGGCAGCAGUGGGGAAUAUUGCACAAUGGGCGCAAGCCUGAUGCAGCGACGCCGCGUGGGGGAUGACGGCCUUAGGGUUGUAAACUCCUUUCGCUAGGGACGAAGCUUUUUGUGACGGUACCUAGAGAAGAAGCACCGGCUAACUACGUG
rnacentral:rRNA from 1 species